UUUCCAGUACCACCAUGUUCGCGUCCGUCCCAAUACUCUGUUGCUAAGGGGCUGUGUUGACUUCGGUCAACGCGAACCGACCCACAUUGUUGCGGGAAGCUGUAGGGGGACGCAGGAAGGUAGAUGAACCCGGUGAAUGGUAGAACCGGGGUAAGCGUGUAGGAGGAGGACCAGGUAAAUCCGGGCCUCAUAAACUCUGAGACGUGAUACCGAGCCGCUUCAGGCGAAGUCAUUGAUCCUAUGCUGCCUAGAAAGGCCCAGUAGCGAGUUGACAUGGUGCCCGUACCCCAAACCAACACAGGUGGACAGGUAGAGCAUACCAAGGCGAGUGGGAUAACUAUGGUUAAGGAACUCGGCAAAUUGCCUCCGCAACUUCGGGAGAAGGAGGACCCCAGUAGCGUGAUGAGACUUGCUCUCUGAGCGUGAAGGGGUGGCACAAAAUUGAGGGAAGCGACUGUUUACCAAAAACACAGCAACGUGCUAAGCCGUAAGGCGCUGUAUACGCUGUGACUCCUGCCCGGUGCUGGAAGGUUACGGGGAUGGGUUAGUCCUUCGGGACGAAGCUCUGAACCUAAGCCCCAGUAAACGGCGGCCGUAACUAUAACGGUCCUAAGGUAGCGAAAUUCCUUGUCGGGUAAGUUCCGACCUGCACGAAUGGAGUAACGACUUCCCUACUGUCUCAACCAUAGACCCAGCGAAAUUGAAGUACGAGUAAAGAUGCUCGUUAGCUGCAGAAGGACGGAAAGACCCCGUGGACCUUUACUAUAACUUGAUGUUGUGUUUUGUCAUAUGUUGUGUAGGAUAGGUGGGAGACUUGGAAGCAUGGACGCUAGUCUGUGUGGAGUCAUCGUUGAAAUACCACCCUGCAUAUGGUGAGGCUCUAACCUAGACCCGUUAUCCGGGUUGGGGACAGCGUCAGGCGGGUAGUUUAACUGGGGCGGUUGCCUCCUAAAGAGCAACGGAGGCGCCCAAAGGUUCCCUCAGCCUGGUUGGCAAUCAGGCGUUGAGUGCAAUGGCAAAAGGGAGCUUGACUGCGAGACCUACAAGUCGAGCAGGAGCGAAAGCUGGGCAUAGUGAUCCGGCGGUUGCGUGUGGAAGCGCCGUCGCUCAACGGAUAAAAGGUACCCCGGGGAUAACAGGCUAAUCUUGCCCAAGCGUCCAUAGUGACGGCAAGGUUUGGCACCUCGAUGUCGGCUCAUCGCAUCCUGGGGCUGAAGCAGGUCCCAAGGGUUGGGCUGUUCGCCCAUUAAAGCGGUACGCGAGCUGGGUUCAGAACGUCGUGAGACAGUUCGGUCCCUAUCCUCUGCAGCCGGAGGUGAAUUGAGGAAAGCUGUCCCUAGUACGAGAGGACCGGGACGGACGCAGCUCUCGUGUGCCAGUUGUCCUGCCGAGGGCAUGGCUGGUUAGCGACCUGCGGAAAGGAUAACCGCUGAAAGCAUCUAAGCGGGAAGCCUCUUCCAAGAUGAAUUCACCCACAGGGUUAACCUGGUAAGGCCCGUGGUAGACCACCACGUUGAUAGGCCGGAAGUGUAAGCGUGGCAACACGUUCAGCUGACCGGUACUAAUCGGCCGAGGGCUUG
rnacentral:rRNA from 1 species